rnacentral:lncRNA from 1 species
AUGGUGAGAUUAAGAAGAGAGAUCGAUGGUGAAAGAAUUGUGGUGAGUAGAAUGAUUGGUAGCCCAUUUAGGAUUGGAAGAAGUGAUCACACUAGUGGAACAAAGAUACGAUUAAAGUUGGAAAAGGCAUCACUCCAUGGUAGUUGCCCCGUAAUUAAAGGGGAGAAAUGGAUAGCUACAAAGGGGAUAAGGAAUCAAUUACAUUAUGAGAACUUCUGA